AACAAAGUUUAUCGCUAUAUAAAUGUUCCGUUUAUUGUUAGUGUGGCUUGGUUAAGCCUUGUUUUUCUUUUUAUUUCUCUUCCACCAAUUUUUCUGUUUUAAACUUCACUUCCGGCUUUUGUUCCCUUGACUUCACCGUAAUUGGUUGACCCAAUGGUCUGAUGUGUCUCUCGAGAAAAAAGGUUGACACCGGAUUGGUGGAAGGGUACUGGCAAAAGGGCGUGAGAUUCGAAUCCGAGAAAAUCGUCACUUUUUGGAGAGAAGAGCUGGGAAGAAGAAGGCUAGAUGUUAGCGAGUACGGAAAGAAAACCCCUCUGGAAUAACGGACUCGAGAUAUUCAAACGAGAUCCUGGCUCUCAUCUCCAUUGAUGAUACCAUGGAAAAAUGUUAAAUUCACUGCUGAUGUUAUCUAUGGCAACAACAACGUACAAGCUGAUUCACUUAUGUGGAAUAUCUUCGUAUAAAAUGAAAACAUAAGCAUGAAACAUAAAUGGAGCGAUUUUUUUUUUCAUGAUGAAGGAGCUGAUGAAGUCUGUUAGUAAAUGAAUCAAGGAGUAAUCACCAGAGUUGCAGUUGUAAAAGGGGAAUAAGAAAUGUAGACAAAGGGCCGUAAAACCGAAAACAAGAAAGGCGGGAAGAGGGACAGAGAGAGUAGGUCGGGACACGGUAGAGAGAGGAAGGGUGAACUGGUGGUCCACGAAAGUCACAACGUUGAGUUUCAAUUUUUCUUCU